UGGGGAAUCUUAGACAAUGGGGGAAACCCUGAUCUAGCCAUGCCGCGUGAGUGACGAAGGCCUUAGGGUCGUAAAGCUCUUUCGCCAGGGAUGAUAAUGACAGUACCUGGUAAAGAAACCCCGGCUAACUCCGUGCCAGCAGCCGCGGUAAUACGGAGGAUGCAAGCGUUAUUCGGAAUUAUUGGGCGUAAAGCGUCCGCAGGUGGUGCCUCAAGUCUGCUGUCAAAGACCGAAGCUCAACUUCGGGCAGGCAGUGGAAACUGAAGCACUAGAGUACGGUAGGGGUAGAGGGAAUUUCCAGUGUAGCGGUGAAAUGCGUAGAGAUUGGAAAGAACACCAGUGGCGAAGGCGCUCUACUGGACCGUAACUGACACUCAGGGACGAAAGCUAGGGGAGCGAAAGGGAUUAGAUACCCCCGUAGUCC
rnacentral:rRNA from 1 species